AUUGAACGCUGGCGGCAUGCCUUACACAUGCAAGUCGAACGGUAACGGGCCUUCGGGUGCCGACGAGUGGCGAACGGGUGAGUAAUGUAUCGGAACGUACCUUUCAGUGGGGGAUAACGUAGCGAAAGUUACGCUAAUACCGCAUAUUCUGUGCGCAGGAAAGCAGGGGAUCGCAAGACCUUUCGCUGAUUGAGCGGCCGGUAUCAGAGUAGCUAGUUGGUGAGGGAAAGGCUCACCAAGGCGACGAUCUGUAGCGGGUCUGAGAGGAUGAUCCGCCACACUGGAACUGAGACACGGUCCAGACUCCUACGGGAGGCAGCAGUGGGGAAUUUUGGACAAUGGGGGCAACCCUGAUCCAGCCAUGCCGCGUGAGUGAAGAAGGCCUUCGGGUUGUAAAGCUCUUUCGGCCGGGAAGAAAUCGUAUGGGCUAAUACCCUGUGCGGAUGACGGUACCGGCAUAAGAAGCACCGGCUAACUACGUGCCAGCAGCCGCCGUAACAC
rnacentral:rRNA from 1 species